rnacentral:rRNA from 1 species
GAUGAACGCUGGCGGCGUGCCUAAUACAUGCAAGUCGAGCGAGCGGACGAGAAGCUUGCUUCUCUGAUGUUAGCGGCGGACGGGUGAGUAACACGUGGAUAACCUACCUAUAAGACUGGGAUAACUUCGGGAAACCGUAGCUAAUACCGGAUAAUAUUUUGAACCGCAUGGUUCAAAAGUGAAAGACGGUCUUGCUGUCACUUAUAGAUGGAUCCGCGCUGCAUUAGCUAGUUGGUAAGGUAACGGCUUACCAAGGCAACGAUGCAUAGCCGACCGGAGAGGGGGAUCGGCCACACUGGAACUGAGACACGGUCCAGACUCCUAAGGGAGGCAGCAGUAGGGAAUCUUCCGCAAAGGGCGAAAGCCUGACGGAGCAACGCCGCGUGAGUGAUGAAGGUCUUCGGAUCGUAAAACUCUGUUAUUAGGGAAGAACAUAUGUGUAAGUAACUGUGCACAUCUUGACGGUACCUAAUCAGAAAGCCACGGCUAACUACGUG